GGCUAGGCGCAGCCUACACAUGCAGUCCGAACGGUAGCACAGAAGAAGCUUGCUUCCUCCGGGUGACGAAGUGGCGGACGGGUGAGUAAUGUCUGGGAAACUGCCUGAUGGAGGGGGAUAACUACUGGAAACGGUAGCUAAUACCGCAUAACGUCGCAAGACCAAAGAGGGGGACCUUCGGGCCUCUUGCCAUCAGAUGUGCCCAGAUGGGAUUAGCUAGUAGGUGGGGUAACGGCUCACCUAGGCGACGAUCCCUAGCUGGUCUGAGAGGAUGACCAGCCACACUGGAACUGAGACACGGUCCAGACUCCUACGGGAGGCAGCAGUGGGGAAUAUUGCACAAUGGGCGCAAGCCUGAUGCAGCCAUGCCGCGUGUAUGAAGAAGGCCUUCGGGUUGUAAAGUACUUUCAGCGGGGAGGAAGGUGUUGUGGUUAAUAACCGCAGCAAUUGACGUUACCCGCAGAAGAAGCACCGGCUAACUCCGUGCCAGCAGCCGCGGUAAUACGGAGGGUGCAAGCGUUAAUCGGAAUUACUGGGCGUAAAGCGCACGCAGGCGGUCUGUCAAGUCGGAUGUGAAAUCCCCGGGCUCAACCUGGGAACUGCAUUCGAAACUGGCAGGCUGGAGUCUUGUAGAGGGGGGUAGAAUUCCAGGUGUAGCGGUGAAAUGCGUAGAGAUCUGGAGGAAUACCGGUGGCGAAGG
rnacentral:rRNA from 1 species